rnacentral:lncRNA from 1 species
CAAAUGACAUUUGUUUCCCUACAGUUUCUGCUCAUUUCCUGUUCUCCAAAGCAAAGGAGAACAAAGCAGUUCAAUCUUCUGAAUGGCAACCUUUCAAACAUGUGGCCACUGCCUUGCCUUGCAUGAAUCUUCUAUUCUCUAGGCUGAACAUAACCUGCUUGCAAAAAUUGUUCUUUAUAGGACCUGGUUUUCCAGAUCCAAUGCCAUCCUGGCUGCUCAAGUCCAGUUUAUCAAUGACUUUCUAAGAAUAUGGUGCCCAGAACUAAACACUGUACACCCACAACCUCUGGCAGAUCUGAGUGUUACACUUGAACCGCUCACCAUGUGUUUCUUGAAUAGGAUUAUAAGAAAACUUCUAGUCCCAAGGGAUAUCUGUACCAGUCAAGAUGAUUCUGUUGCUCUGGGGACACUCCAAGCAGAACAGCCUCACGGAGACAAAAAUAGUCCUAAGAGUGAGCAGCAUAUGCCCAUUCUUCCUUCAAAGUGUUAUAAUUUAAUGUGCUUGGCCUGUCAACAAAAUUGCGCACGGUUGCUCUGCAUAAUAUAUCUU